rnacentral:rRNA from 1 species
AUGCACUGCAGCUACACCAAGCUACUUUGGCGUCGCUUUAGAGCUUGGACGAGAGCUGAUUUUCUUAUCCCGGAUGCUACUUUCAGUUCCACGGAGGAAUGGUGGCUGCAGGCCAGGGCGGCUAUCCCGAAACCAUUCAGGAGAAACAUCGACACGGUUACCAUCCUUAUACACUAGAGGAUUUGGAAGGAAAGAAAUGCUAGGAUUUUUGACACCGUGGAUAGUUCGGUGGACAGGGUGAGGGACCUGAUCCUAGAGGAUGUCAAUGUCUGGAGGGCUGCGGGGUGUAUUGCUGACCUGCCGUCGUGA